GACCCAUACAAAGCCCAGGACCAGAAGGGUAGAGAGUGAUUUGAAGCCCUGAAUUAACAGACCGUCUUCUUGGACGCCACAAAAAAGGGUUUGCUUCCUCUGCUCUCACGGAUUCAGGCGCAGCGGAGGGACAGGGAGAAGGAGAGGAAGCUUGUAUAGCUUGCUAUUAUUUGGUGCCAUGUCGAAAGAGAAUUCAACAGCCCGAAUAUGGCUAAGCAGGAGCUCUCCUGCACUUUGAAGAACUUGAUGUGCGGUAAUAAUGGAAGGGGUCCUGACCCAGGAGCAGUUUUUGGCUGGAUGUCUUUUCAAAGUUUCAUUAGGAUGAAGGUCAAGUGACCUGAAAGUUUUUAUUCAAUGAAUAAUCACUUCCCAACCUUCUUUUCUGGCUUGUGUUCACUGCUCUCCUCAUGUCAAAACCAUUAUCUUGGUAGAAACUUAAUAAGCAGCAGCAAAUGAAGCUUCUGAUGCACGUGCCUCUACUUCCAGCUGUUAGUGGAAGAUCUUUGAGAGAAAAUGAAUCAUCACCAGAUGGAGUAGAGUGCUCAAGCACUGCUAAACCGAGUUCUGAGGUGAACGGAGAUCAUUAAAGAAAACAAUCUGAAGUAAUAGCUGAAACACAACAUCAAAACAAGUCACUGAAAACGGUUCAAGAUGGCGGCGGCAAUCAUCACUGAAUAGUAGUAAAGGCUCCUUCGAGCAGCCACAGCAUGACAAGCUGGACUAGAGUGUUCUCAGACCAAAAGGUCAACUCAAUCGAAAUGAAAGAGGGUGAGCACAUGUAGGUCGUUCCCUUGGUAGUCAUGGAAUUUCUUUUCUUAUUAAUGUUAGGUUGAGCAUUCGUCUCUGUAACUGGGUACACUUCUCUUCUAGCCCUGCAUCUUUCCUGCUAGUGAGUGCAUAAGAUGUUGUGUAAUUUCUUUACUUACAGAGAUUGUCUCUGUAACUGGGUGUACUUCUCUUCUAGCCCUUCUAACCAACGCUGGUCAUUACUGGAAUAAUUUUGUUUGGACUAUUGCUGGGACGAUGCUUGGGGCAUAAACGCAACAGGGUUUUCUCUGCUGCAGAAUGUGGAAUCAUUUUGAUAUAGAAACAACGUACAAUGGGAA